UCAACCUAUUCCUUUCACCUUUCUCCCUCUUCCUCUUCCUCUUCCUCUCUCGUCCAAUAAUUCACCCAAUUUGCACCCAAUUCCUCCCAUGAUUUCACCCAACUUCAUAGGACACUGAAAAUGAGAGAUUAAGACUACAAUUGAUAUGUUGGGGAGGAUGAUGAAAGGAAGGGUGAGAAUGAUGGGGGACACGGUGACAGGGAGGAUGAUGUGAAUUGUGUCCAGGAACCUGCAACAUUCGAUGUUAAUGAGUUUGGGCUUACAUGUGUCAAUUUCAAAAAGAAAUGUUCUCAAAGUGAUCCUUUUGUGUUAGCAUCACAAGUUCAUCAGGUUUUUUUUGUACAAGAUCCAGAAGAACAUGAUAUUCACUAUGUCAUGCAACGGGUUCCAAGAGAGUUAUUCGACUUCGAGGAAGCAAUGAAUGAGGAAACCUAUAGAAGCUAUUGAUUCUAGUGGUAGUGACAUACCUAAUGUGGAUGCAAGUGAUACUUAUUUAAGAGUUAGUGGUGAAGUACGAUCGGUGGAAAUCACUGACAUCGUAGAUGCUUUGGAUAUAACUUAGACUUUGAACAUGAUAAUACAGAUUGGGAUUGGAUGCAUGCUGAUACCGAUACUUGACUCAUAAUAUUUAGAGCUUAAGACUGAGUUUUACACUCUUUUAUAUGUUCUUUAAAUCAUUUUUGUUUUUUUCACAUUGCUCAACAUUUUUCUCAUUCUGGUUAGGUUUUUUUACUGUAAAAAUACUCAUUGAAAGCUUUUCCAUGAUGAAACUUUUGGACGCUAGAACUCUAUGUUUCAUUAUGCUAGAUCAAUCGUAUACCUCUGCAUGUACAGAUGAUUGAAUAUGUGUGUCACUUUUGAAGGAAACAUGUAUUACUUUUAUUGCGUUAAGCUAUCAAAUUUUAAGAUAGUGAUGUAAUACAUAUCUCGCACUAGCUAGAACAACUUAUAGCUCGUGUAUGUGCUUUAAUUUGAGGUCUAAGGGCUACUUGUCGCAUUCUCUAAUUCGAGGUUUAUAUGCUACUUGUCACAUGUUAAUUAGCUUGCCCUUCCCCUGAUUGAUAGGAUAAAAUAAC